rnacentral:misc_RNA from 1 species
GGCAGCAUACAUUCAGCCCAAUUAGCAAUAUUACAAACGAAAUCAAACCAGGACCUAAAAAGUUCGGUGUCAAACCAGAAGUUGCCGCUAAAUUAGAUACAAGACCACCUCCAUCCGACAUAUUAGAAAAAGCCAAAGCUGCCAUUGCUUCAGCUGAGCGCGCCACUGCAGCAGCCCGAGUAGCUGCUGAACUAGCAAAUGUCAACCUUGGAGCAAUGAAGUUAGAAGGCGGACAAACUUCGGAGUGUUGAAGACAAAAAGAAAGGUAAUUUAUACAUUUGUUUG